rnacentral:rRNA from 1 species
UGGGGAAUUUUGGACAAUGGGGGCAACCCUGAUCCAGCAAUGCCGCGUGAGUGAAGAAGGCCUUCGGGUUGUAAAGCUCUUUUGUCCGGGAAGAAAUCCCAUCCUUGAAUACGGGGUGGGGAUGACGGUACUGGAAGAAUAAGCACCGGCUAACUACGUGCCAGCAGCCGCGGUAAUACGUAGGGUGCAGGCGUUAAUCGGAAUUACUGGGCGUAAAGCGUGCGCAGGCGGUUGUGCAAGACCGAUGUGAAAUCCCCGGGCUUAACCUGGGAACUGCAUUGGUGACUGCACGGCUAGAGUGUGUCAGAGGGGGGUAGAAUUCCACGUGUAGCAGUGAAAUGCGUAGAGAUGUGGAGGAAUACCGAUGGCGAAGGCAGCCCCCUGGGAUAACACUGACGCUCAUGCACGAAAGCGUGGGGAGCAAACAGGAUUAGAUACCCUGGUAGUCCACGCCCUAAAACGAUGNCAACUAGCUUGUCGGGGAUUAAUUUCCUUGGUAACGGCAGCUAACGCUGAAGUUGACCGCCUGGGGAGUACGGUCGC